rnacentral:rRNA from 1 species
AAUGGGGGCAACCCUGAUCCAGCAACGCCGCGUGAAUGAAGAAGGCCCUAGGGUUGUAAAGUUCUUUUGUCGCAGAGCAAAAGGGGGAUGCUAAUAUCAUCUUCAAAUGAGAGUAUGCGAAGAAUAAGCACCGGCUAACUACGUGCCAGCAGCCGCGGUAAUACGUAGGGUGCAAGCGUUAAUCGGAAUUACUGGGCGUAAAGCGUGCGCAGGCGGAUGAUUAAGUUAGAAGUGAAAUCCCCGGGCUUAACCUGGGAAUUGCUUUUGAUACUGGUCGUCUAGAGUUUGUCAGAGGGGGGUGGAAUUCCAAGUGUAGCAGUGAAAUGCGUAGAGAUUUGGAGGAACACCAAUGGCGAAGGCAGCCCCCUGGGAUAGAACUGACGCUCAUGCACGAAAGCGUGGGUAGCAAA